rnacentral:lncRNA from 1 species
GGCGGGUUCCUGACUUUCUAUUUCAUCAACCUUUUGCUAUGCUUUCAAUUUCUUCACCCUGUUCUGCAGGCAAUCUCCUGACUUGCUAUUUUUCAAUCUAUUUAACUUUUAAUUUCUUUACCUUGUUGCUUAUUUUUCCAUUUAUUCGCCUUGUGCUUCGGGCAGGCUUCUCACAUCACAUCAAAACUGGAAAUAAAAUUAUCCCAAACAAAAAUUAUUAUAAAUAAAAAUUUCGUUUGCUUGAAAAGUAAAGUUCCAAAAACAAGAAUUAAAUUUUACCAUAGUUUAUCAUCAAAGGACUUUUGUGAAAGUCACUCAUUAUAGGAAUCCAGGAGAAUGACUCAACUAUAAGGUACGUCUGACAGGAAUCAAAGGAAUUAACUCGACUAAAAGGUACAUCUUCUAGGAAUCAAAAAGGAAUGACUCGACUAAAAGGUACGUCUCUUAGGAAUCAAGGGGGAUAACUUGACUAAAAGGUACGUCUUAUAGGAAUAAAAGGGGAUGACUCAACUAAAAGGUACGUCUUAUAGGAAUCAAAGGAGAAUGACUCGACUAAAAGGUAUGCCUUAUAGGAAUCAAAGGGAAUGACUCGACUAAAAGGUACGUCUUCUAGGGGUCAAGGGUAAUGACUCGACUAAAAGGAAUGACUCGACUAAAAGGUAUGCCUUAUAGGAAUCAAAGGGAAUGACUCGACUAAAAGGUACGUCUUCUAGGGGUCAAGGGUAAUGACUCGACUAAAAGGUACGUCUUAUAGGAAUCAAGGGAGAUGACUCGACUAAAAGGUACAUCUUCUAGGGGUCAAGGGGAAUGACUCAGCUAAAAGACACGUCUUAUAGGAAUCAUGGGAGAUGACUCAACUAAAAGGUACGUCUUAUAGGAAUCAAUGGUAAUGACUUGACUAAAAGGUAUGUCUUCUAGGGGUCGAGCGGAAAUACUUGACUAAAAGGUACGUCUUCUAGGGGUCAAGGGGAAAGACUCCAUUAAAAGGUAUGUCUUCUAGGGGUCAAGGGGAAUGACUCGACUAAAAGGUACAUCUUCUAGGAGUGAAGGUUCAAUUUAAUAAGUGUAUCACCUAGCAAAUAAAAACUGAAAUCCCUGGACAAGAAAGUGUGUCUCCGAGGGAUAUAGGAUGAUGAUUUUUUACCAUGACUUGAUUAUUAAACCUGUGCAACAACAUUGUUUCCUCCAUUUGUAGGAGUGAGGCAUUGCAGCCCUUGAUAUUUAUGUUCCAAAGUCCUUGCUUUGAAGGUAAUAUGUUUUCUAUUUCAUCAAAGAAAACUUGUGAGUUAAAAAAAACAUGGUGGCUGGCUUGUGGCUUUAGCUUUCGCAGAAAUUGCUCUUGCCCCAGUCACAUUUAGCCUUGCUUCCAACCAUUAGCAUAUGUCAUUGACUUGUUGCAUCAAUGAUCCAAACUCAUAUUAGGAAGAGUGACUCUGCCACAAACACAGUAUCUCUGCUUUGUCAUGUUUCUCAGUUAAACCCUUUGAACUAUGGUAUUUUCGUGGGUUCCCAUACUUAUCUAUUUGACAAAACUUUCUGCAUGCCUUCUUUUGGCUCACAAUUAUGUCUCUUUCAUGUGCUAGCUUUUUUCUUGUUUUGUGCAAUUAAAGAAGCUGGAAGCCAGUUUUAAAAUCUUUUCUCACUUGUUUUUUAUACAGACUUGGCUAAAAAAAAAGAACGAUAAUUUUUGUCUAGAUAACUGACUCAAGAAAGAUAAAAUAAAGAUAAAGAGAAGAAACAAAAGACAAUAAAUGUCCCCUUUUGAAACAAAGAAAUGAAAAAUUCAUCUAAAAAUGACAGUCAACACUAAUGAUUAUGCCACGCAUUUGGGAUUAAGCAACUUGAUCUUUUCAUCCAAACUUUCUACCCAUAGUUGUCGAGUUAAUGGUCUUGAAAUUCUGUUGCUUCCUUAGGUCAAUUGCAUUUAAGACCCCAUUUGGAAAGUGGAGCCUUGAAGUAUUUUUGCCAAUAAGCUUCUCUCCUUUUCUUUUCCUCAGCUCACCAUUGCCUUAUGGUAUCUGUAAGGGUUUUUCACUAAUGAGACUCCCUUAUCUUCAUUUUCCUAAAAUCACAGUUGUCUUACGGUGCCCGUGAUAGUUUUUACUGAUAAGACUCUCUCAUUUUUAUCUCUCUCAACUUAUCAUCGUCUUACGAUGCCCAUGAGGGUUUUCACCAAUAAGACUCUCUCAUUUUAUUUCUCUCCUAAUUCCAUGAGGAAGACAAGUAAUUCCCAAAAUGCGUCAUCACAUUCAUUGCAUUCGUAGCCUUAACAUUCUCAAAGAUUGAUCUGAAGGUCUUUCUUUGGUUGUAACUUGACUUUUGGAUUGGGUUGGAAAGAAAGGAUGGUAUGGGGCCCAAACGAUACUUGAAGUUGGGUGGGAUUUACAACUUUUGGAAUUGACUCAAACAAUGAGGAUCAACUCAUGCCCCAGUUUUUUUGACUGGGCAAUACUAAAUUGUUUAUUUGGUUGGAACGAGCUCAGAGUAGGGAAGCCUACGUAUCUCACUCCCGAGAGAGGAGAAUCAGGUCACGCCUAGUUUUGGCAACUUAUUAUUUUGCUUGACUCUAAUUUUAUUUUCUUUUGUUGACUCUUUUAUUGACUUUUUUUUCUUUUUUGGGACCUUCUGACUCUAUUUUUUUUCUCGACCCUCUUUUCUUUUCCUUUUUUUGGACAUAUUUUUUCUUUCAUUUUUUUUUGAAACUUUCUGACUCUAUUAUUUUGCUCGACACUUUUGUUUUGAGCUUUGCUGACUCUAUCUUGAUUCCAAAAUAGGGGUAUGAAAGAAAAUAGGACUAAAGCUCAAAUGGGGUAAACAAAGGAUGACAUGAUAUUUGGAUAACAGAAUGAAAUGCCUUCAUCAUAUCAAUCCUUGAAAAUACAAGUACAUAUCAUGCAAUAUGAAAGUGAGAGAUGAAGAUCAUUUGUGAUAUUUUACAGCACUAAUUUUAACUGAGACUGUGCGUCGCUACUUCUUCUGCAAACUCCAUCUUUGUUGUACAUUCCACAUGCUUUCGUGGAGAUAAUUUUUCUAUUCCUUUUGAUGUAGGAUCACACAUCCACUAUUUGACCUAAUUGAGACAUGUCUUUCAAAUGUUGACCAAGUUAUUCUCACGAUUCUCAAAAUAAUUCCCUUAAUUUUCAAAGAAGGCUUCAACUUGAUCACCAAAUGCCCCAGCACUCUAUCUAUUUUCUCAUACGCUAUCUAUUUCUAAAUUUAACCCACUGAUUCAAUGCUCAUGCUUAAACUGGAUUUUAAGAUCUGUCUGAAAAUUUCACUACCAUGUCAUAUCACUAGAGUCAACAUAAAAUGUACUGUGUAAAAAAAACAAACAAACAACACAUAUUUGAAACACAAAGGAAAAUGGGACACUUCAUUUAGUUAAAACAAAAAAUAGAAGGGUUUGAACAUAAACGACAAAAAGAAAAAAAGAAGAUAGAUCCCAAACUACAACCCUAAGAUAAUUUGGAUAACAGAAAAUAAAACAAAACAAACUACCAGACCUCUUCCUAGUAGGGAGAGGGGUGACUUCUCAAUUGCGCAGCCUGACAUCUUAGCCACUGGUUUGCGUAUCAUCAUGACUAGAGUUUUCCUCACUGUCAAUGCUCUGCACCAUAAUUGAUCCAUCUUGAAUCAUCUUUUCAAUUUCUCUUUUCAAAUCUCGACAAUCUUCAAUACUAUGACCCUGAGCAUCAGAAUGAUACGCACAUUGUGCAUUAGGAUCAAAAUUUCUUGAAUGCCGAUUAAGAGUGCACCCAAAGAGAGGAGUGAGCAUGCCCUAUUUUACCAAUAUCUGAAAUAAACUGGCAUAUGACUCUCCAAUUGGUUUGAAGCUAUCUCUCGACUUCUGCCUCAUUUCAUUGUUUGGCUUCGAUCGAAAAUCAGGCUUAGAAGGGUUUGGUAUGUUUGUGGAGUUAGAGGACGACUCUGAGGAGUUGGUGCGUUCCACUGUGGGUAACAUAUGGUUGUGCGUUAUAUACUGGAUACAGAGGUGGAGAAGCAGAGUAUAAUGAAUUUUGGGAGUGAUUAUGUGGAGCUUGGGCAUGAACUUGGGUUUGAGCCUGAGAGUAAUGAUGGUGUGGUCCUCUUGCCCAUGCCUAUUGUCCAACUACAAUGGAAGAUGCAUAUUCCUCAUACUUCUUCCCUUUGACACUUUACGAACCUUUUUGAAUUACUUGAGUAGUCGCUUUCAAUGUUGCAAAACUCACAAUGUGACCGGUCUUAAUUCCAUCCUCCACCAUCUCUCCCAUUUUGAGGACCUCAAUAAAUGGCUUACCUAAUGCAGGUAACAAGUGUUGAUAAUAUGUUUCAUCCUAUGCUUGAAUAGACACCUCUACUAUCUUACUUUCUUUCAUUGGCGGUUUCACCCUAGCAGCUUGCUCACACCAUCUAAUCGCAUACUCUCUGAAAGUUUCAGUAUUCUUUUUCUUCAUAUUAGUUAAGGAUUUCUCAUCAGGAAUCAACUCCACAUUGUAUUGAAAUUGUUGCACAAAUUCAUUAGCUAGGUCAUCCCAACUAAUCCACUUGUCGAUGUCUUGGUCAACAAACCAUUCUGAAGCUAGGCCUGAAAGACUCUCACCGAAAUAUGCCAUGAGUAAUUCUUCCUUCCCCUAGCACCCCUUAGUUGGUUGCAAUAAUGUCUCAAAUGUGCUACAGGAUCGCCAUGUCCAUCAUACUUCUCAAACUUCAGCAUUUUAAAACCAAAAGGAAGAUGAACCCCUAGAAACAUGCACAGAUCUUUAUAUGAGACACCUUUGUACCCCCCAAGUCCCUGGAGGUAUUUUAUAGCCAAAUCCAUACUUCUCAAUUUUCUAGUCAUUUCCUUUUGUUCUUCUGUUAUAUUAGGCUUCUCAGUGUUAAGAGGAAAUUCAGGCGGGUGAGUAUAGCCAUAAGGAUUAGUCAACUUAAAUUUGGGAUCAAUAGCAUGAUGUUGAUCAGCAAAAAUAUUCAAUGCAGGCUCUCUCGCAGAGUGAGGAGGAUCAACUUAUGGAUAAACCUCAAAAGUAGGAGCUUCGGGUGGGGGUGGUGCUGCAAAACCAUGAACAGUGGGUGAAGCCAAGCAUGUGGUAGCUUUGUGUUGAGGAGUAAGGAAAUGAAUAUUAGAAGUGUUUGGAUAGUGUUGCCCCGGAGCAGGUCCUGAUGCAUGUUGAAGUGUGUCAACAAAAAUAGAAAACUGUGUAUGUGACACUGGAGGAAAGCUAGAAAGAUAUUCCAGAUUAUCAGUGAGAAAUGGAGGAGGUGGCAACCCAUUAGCCCAAGCUCGAUGCAUUUCUAUCAUUUGUUGCCUUAAUUUUUGAAUCUCUUCAUUAGCUUCUAAAUUCUUAUUGCCCGAACUCCCUAUCUGAUCAGUGACAACAAACUCGAUAUCCUUGUUGGCCAUAACUUUCUCUGUGACUUGGUACAAUAUGGAGGACCAGCCAAAAUGCCACAAACCAACCACCUUAAACUAACUGAACAAGAGAUAGCAAAUGCGUUAGAAUUCAACACUUUUUUUUUGCAAAACCUUUUUUUUUUAAAAGGUCACCGAACCCAAGAGGGGCGCCUAUGUAUCUCACUCCCGAGAGAAGAUAAUCAGGUGUGCAUAGUUCGUGAAGUCCUGCCAAAAUGGACAGUUAAUUCUUUUUCCUUUUCUUUUCUUUUUGAGAAACUUCAAAAAUAACAAAUUGUCAAAAGAAUUGACGAAAAUCUUUUUGCAUUUUUCAGGUUUAAACUCCCUAUACAAAACGAAACCUAUGAUUACCAAAGAAAAAUCUUUUUGAGUUUUCAAUUUUUGAUUUUCAUACGAAAAUGAGAUUUGAAGCUAUUAACAAAAAAUCUUUUUGUGAUUUUCUUUUAAAAAUGUAUAGGAAACACCGACUUUAAAGGAAGAGUGAAGAAAAUAUUUUUUUUUUUGGAUUUUUCAAAUAAGAUCCCCGAACCCACAAUAGGCUGCCUACGUAUCUCACUCCCGAGAAAGGAGAAUCAGGGGUACAUAGUUCGUCCAGAUAGGACAAUUAAGGAUUAAAUAACAAACUAUACCCUGACUUGAGAGACACGACCAAAGACAGACGAUGAACAAUGUAAAUAGAAUCUUUUUCUUUCUAAGUUUUCAGUUUGACACGUAAAAUAAAAAUGACAACAACAAGUAUGAAAGGAAAAUCUUUUUGAUAUUUUUCCUAUAUGAAAUGAACAAAAUUUCUACCAUCUUUUUGCAUUUUCUUUUAUAAAAACCUCCUAUUGUAAAAAAAAAACUUUUUGGGGUUUUCGAAUUGUGAAUGCUUGCUAAAGGAAACAAAAAGAAAAUCUUUUUGAUGUUUUUUUAUUUUUGAAAAAUGAGUGCAAAAAGUAAAAAUCUUUUUUUUUUUGAAUUCUGAAUUGUGGAAAACAAAAGUCAUAAAGAACUGUAAAAACUACGAAACACUUUUUUGAUUCACCUUUUUCUUUUUUUUCCUUUUUUUGAUUUUUCCAUGCCUACACACCCUACUUCUGACACAAGUUUUCCCCAAAUCAGUCCAUCAUGACCACGUUGCCCUCAGAUAUGCAAAAUUUAGCACGUAGGGAUGCUUUAGAGGUGAGUUUCCUACGAAGGACCAAGUGGGCCCCACUAAGUAUCAAUGUGAUGCACAUAAGCAUGACCUAAAGGCUGACCUACCUCGGGGUUCACUAACAAGGUUAUUAGGGGGAGCGUAUGGUCGAUAGUGGCUGCGACAACUUUCCACCCACUCCAUACGUCCGACGGCUCGCCCUCCUAAAAUAAGAGCGACUCAACUAGAGUUCGUAUACACGAUGUGCACUUUGAGACUUGUUGUAGAAAGAAUUGACUCGGGUAAUGCAAAUAAUGCCAGAUAUAAAACGGUAACACAUAAAGAAAAACCAUAAAUAAAGAGCACAUAGACACUCAACAAUGAUAAAAUAAAUACAAACGAUAAUACGAACAAUGUCUAUACACCCCUAAUGCCAAACUAAUCCGAUAAAACUCCCAAAAAUAAGCUCGAAUUCUGAAAAAUCCCCAGCAGAGUCGCCAGAGCUGUCACACCCCUUAUUUUUAACAAAUCAGAUAUUGUUUUUGAGGUUUCAAAAGGGUUUUUUUAUUGGGUGACAAAAGAUGAUUUUUUGUUUAGAAAAAAAGGAUUGUUUUCAUUUAAACUCAGAGUCGCCACCUGGCAUAAUUCGGGUGUGCCAAGUCACCCGUGGAUAUCCUUUUUCAAAAUAAUUUUGACUCUAUAAAACUGAUCCGUGAACAGAGAUUCUGGUUAACAAAUUCUGUUGACCGAGGGGAAGGUGUUAGGCACCCCUCAAUCCCAUGGUUUGACCACGAUCGCUUGGUAGAAAAUAUCGGCUAAUUUGACACUAAGAAUGUAUAAACCACACAAAACACAUAAACAAGCAUCCAAACACACGAAACAAAAUAAAUCCAAGGUAUAGUGUUUAGUCCAAUUAUACAGUCCAAAAUAAAUAAAAUGCAAAAAUAAAUCCUAUCUAACCUACACUAAUCCUAACUAUGCUCCCGUGCUUUACCCGAGACCUCAGGCCUUCAUUACGAAUGUCUUCCACCAACACAAUACGUCGGUGCAUUCCUCAGUGAAUAAAUACAAAUGUCCUCGGGGCAUUCCCCGGCUAAAUGAAUACAAUUGAUCCAAAUGCGGUAAACAAAACCACUCAACACAUAUUUCAAACAUUCCAUCAAUCCACAAUCCCUAAACUUGCCUACCCAGAUUACCAUUUGCCCAUCAACUCUCGAUUUAUCGUAAUUCUAUCACAUCCAACAUCAUCAACGUAGAAAAAUUAAAACAAGUUCUUUAUCAAGAUAAACCCUUCCCCAAAUUUGAUUUAAUCCACAAAUUUUCACGUUAAAAUAAUUAUUCACCCAUAUCAACAUCAAAGUUCCACCAUGGUAGUCUAUUCAAUCACCAAAUAUUCACAAAAAGGGGAACUAAACAUAAUAAUCAACCCACAAUCACAACAUCAAUCACAUAUAAUGAAAUAAAAAUGACAAGAGAUAGAAUUAGACCUCGAUUCCGCUUUCAAAUAAGUAUUCUUUCAUCAAACGGGAUAGAGUCCGCAUCGGAACCUUAACUCGAAACUCAAUCACGUCAAACGGGUUAGGAGUUUCGCCAACAAACGACGUUGUAGUCAUAGGGAUGGACUGUUACGGCUUCAAAUGGAGCUCCGACAAGCCUCAACAAUGACGAACCCGAUGGGGUUGAGCAGAAUUGGGUCACGGGACUUGGUGCUAGUUAUUAGAACUGGUAGUCUAGGCCAAAAUCUGGUGGAUUUUGACGUAUUCCAGCGAGAGUUUGCCGAAAAAACUAUUCACCAUUGCUCUUUUCUCUCUCGACGCACCUCUCUCUCUAUCUGGUUUCUCUACUUAUUGGUCUUCUCUCUCCUUGCCUUUGGGUGCUUGUUUGCUUUAAUGGAGUGUAUGUAAAUGUGUGUGUAUCAUCGUGAGAGGGUGUGUGGUUCUGUGUGUAAUUCCAAGAAUAAGAAAGGGAAAGAUUAUAGAAUCCCCCCCUGGUGAGUGUGUAUGUAUCUAUUUAUAUAGUGAUGAAUGGGGGGUGAAUUCUGUUUUGUACAGCUGUCUAUUUUUUGUGUAUAUUCUUUUAUGAUGGAUAAAAAAAAAUGUGUGUAAAGGUAGGUGGAGACCACGUGGGUAGGUUGUUAGGAUGAGGUAUAAAGUUGGUUAGGAUAGCAUUAAAACAAAAAUAGAAUUUGUUAGAGAUUAUGUUAAGGGUUGUUAUUUUUUAUAUUUUUGUAGGGUAUAAUCACAUGGGUGAGGGUAUAUGGUAAGAUGAGGGUAAAAAUGGAUAAAAAUAUUUUUGGGGAGGGACAAAAUUAGGUGUCUACAGCUAUGGAGAAGCUCAAACGGUGAAGAUAAGAAUAAAUAUGGAAAAUGACCUGAAGGGCCAUUACAAUUUAAAAUUUACUAAAGUAAAAGGUACAUGCCAUGGUAAACUUGGAGUUUGCUAGAAUAAAAGUUCAUAAAUUGAUAUGAACGAUUGUGACAUCCCAAAGAUGUGCAUACUGAGUAUUGAACAUAUGUUGAAGAAUUAGAAAAUUCUUCAUUACUUUUAAUGUUGCCUCUUCUCAUGAUAAGUUGGUUGGACCAACUAAUUUUGGGAUUAGAUUUCUUAAAAUCUGAAAAGUAUAAAAGGUGAAUAAGGGUCCGUUCACCUAUCAUGUGAUAUAUUGAAAAGAUAUGCAUCAAUAAGAUGAUCACAUGUACAUUUAUUAUCAACCUACAGUUUGAAAUUCAUAAAGUUGCACAGUAAAAUUAAGUUAAGAGCAUAACUUUCAGACUGUGUAAUCAAGAUAAUUCUUCUUGAUGAUGAUGGUUUAGCAUUGAAUACCUUCGAUAAAUAGCUAAACCAUUAUAAAGUAAUGUAUCAUAAGAUUUUUAGCUUUCAAUACAAUGUAAGUAAAUUAAAUAUAAUAAUGUAUUAGUAAUCACAAAUAACUAUAAUGUGUCAUGAACUGUAGUGUAUCAUGAACUCAAUGUUAUUAAAUGAGAUACUUGUUAUCAUUAUACAAUAUAUCAUAAGUUUUCACAUAAUAGGAAAACUUAUGAUAUUUGUUAUCAUAAGUUAUUAAAUGACGUAUAUUAUGCAAUUUAAAUGGCAAUUUCUUUAAUUAAGUGCAUUAAUUGCUAAAUUGUAGGCUUAAUAUUGUUUCUUUCCAUUUUUAACCACAAUUAAAGAUUUUUUAAUGUAUCAUAAACUAAUGUAUAAUGACGUUAACUAAUGUAUCAUAUCCGAUAUUUUAUGUAAUUAUUAUAAAAGUAGGGAGAGAGGGUAAUUAGGUAGUAAAGUGUUGGGGUUUAUGUUGUUUAUACAAUUUUUUCAGUUUUUGUAUAGUUAACGGGCCUACUUGUGCAAUGGCAAAAUUAAAGGUCAUAGUUAUAAUGUGUCUUUUUUUAUUAGGUGACAACAUUUGAGUGGCUUACUAAUCCACGUAGGAACGAUUGAGUUUUACGCCUGUAAGUUGCAGAAUUGGAGUGUUUUUUGUUUCAACUUUUAUAUAGUUAAAGGGUUUUUUUGUGCACUGACAAAGUUAAAGGGCAUUGUUAUAAUUUGGUAUCAAGUUAAAGGUCCUGUUUAUGUAUUGUACUUUUUUUGCCACAGGAAAAAUUAGAUGAAUAUCUAGUUGAUAUUCAGUAUCUGUAUCAAUGCUCGAUUAUAUCUGAAUUAUGCAUUGCAUUGCAAGAGCGCUCAUUCUCGAGGCAAUACUCUCAAUACAAAUUUAUUUGGCUAUCAUUAACACAUUUGAAACAUCAUUGCUCCAUUUGAUCGAUAUUCAGGUAUCUGUAUUAAAACUCGAUUAUAUCCGAAUCAUGCAUUGCAUUGCAAGGGCGCUCAUCCUCAAGGCAACACUCCCAAUAAAAAUUUCUUUGGCUAUGAUUAACACAUUUUAAACGAAUGAUGAGAUACGUAAAGGCUGAGAUAGAGGCAAAGCCAUGAUUUCAAUUAAGGGGUUCAAUAUUUAAAGAAAACCUAGUCGAACAGGGGUUUGACACUUACUAUAGAUGCAUAAAAAAUAAAUUUAAUCAUGUAUAAAUAGUAUAUUUUUCCAUCGAAAAAGAUUCGAAUGAACCCCCUAGCUGAAGGCUGGCUUCGUCCCAGUGUGAGGGUUGAUGGUGAUAGGUUUGAGGAGAUCGAGAGAUCGAGGUAGACUAACAAAAAAAUUGGAGAUACAUAAUUAGACAGAAUAUGACACAUCUUCAACUCACUGAUCGAGGACAUUGUCACACCCCUUUUUCAACUCCAAAAAGAAUUAUUUUUAUGGGUUGCGAAAGGAUUUUCAUUAUUAAAGUGACAAAAUGAAGAUAAUUUGUUUUGAAAAGGACCUUUUACAUUCAAAACUCAGAGUCGCCACUUGGCAUAAUCUGGUGUGCCAAGUCACCAUUGGAAAAUCCUUUUCAAAAUCAUUUGACUCUUUAAACUAGUUUGCGAACAGAGAUUCCAGCCAAGGAAUUCUGUUGACCGAGGGGAAGAUGUUAGGCACCCCUCGAUCCCGUGGUUCGACCAUGGUCGCUUGGUGGAGCGUAUCGACUAAUUUUGACACUACGAAUGUACAAACCACACAAAACAUGUAAAACAAUCUAACAAACAAACAAAACAAAACAAAAAAAUGAAUCAAAAGUACAGUGUCUAGUCCAAUUUAUACAGUCCAAAAUAGAAAAAUGCAAAAAUAAAUCCUAUCUAACCUACACUAAUACUAACUACGCUCCUGUGCUUUACCCGACACCUCAGGCCUUCCUCACGAACGUCUUCCUCCAACAUAGCACGUCGGGGCAUUCCCCAGUGAAUAAAUACAUUGUGUCUCGGGGCAUAUUCCUGGCUAAAUAAAUACAUUUGAAUUAAACACGAUAAACUAGAAACCAAACAUUCACACACACAUUAAACAUUCAAAACAUUUAAUAAACACAUCACUCCGAAGUUUUGCCUACCCAAACCGACAUUUGCCUAUCCAUUUCAACAUAUCAUAAUUCUAUCACAUUCCAACAAUAUUCAUGCUCAUUAUGAAUUAAACAAAACAACAAUAAACCAAAGUUAAUCUAAACUCAACUUUUUAUCAAUUUCUCAAUUCCAUCCCCAAAUAAUCAAUUUUAAUUCUCAAACGAGAUACCAUUUCACCAAACCAUAAUCAAGCAAACCAAUCACGAGUCAAAAUAAACACGCAUUCAUCACCAACAAGGACCAAAUAACAUGUAAUAUUCAAUCCAACACCAAAUAUAAUAAACAAUGAAAUAAAAAGAGAAAGAGAGUAAAAUUGGACCCCAAUUUGAAGCUUUCAAACUAAAUGUUAUUCGAAUAAACCGCACCCAAGAACCUCAAGCCAAACCUUAACACCAACAAUCCAACUCGAUAAUGUGAAAUAAUGACCCGUUCAUCGUCACUUUUCACCGGCACUGUUCACCAACACUGUUCACACCGUUAUUGUUCACUUUGUUACUGUUCACUCCGUUAUUGUUCACGUUGUUACUGUUCACUCCAUUGUUGUUCACGUUGUUACUAUUCACUCCAUUACUGUUCACGCUAUUAUUGUUCACCGGCACUGUUUACGUCGGAUUCCCAUUGUCCAGACCCUUUUUCUCUCUUUAUUUUUUUCUCUCGCGCGAUUCUCUCUUUCUCUCCCUCAUUGUUUUUUUGUUCUUGUGAGGAAGAUGAUUUGGUGAUUGUUGUUAUUGUGGAGAAGAAGAUGAUGAAAGAAUGAGUCUCCCUAUUUUCCCCUUUUAGAAUUUUCUUUUUAUAUUUUUUAUUUAAUUUUUCUUUUUCUUUAUUUAUUAUCCUAUGUGGAAGCAUAUAAUUGGUGGCUUGUGGGAAUAAGUGUGUGGCAUAUGGAAAAGUUAGUGUGGCAUGUGGAAAGAUGAGGGUGGCGUGUGGAAAAAUGAGUGGGGCGUGUGUCUUUUGCAUGUAUCCAAUGAGAAAUGGAAAGUGAAGUGUUGAGGUGGCAUAGUGAGGUGAUAAAGAUGCUAUGUAUUUAAUUAUUUUCAAUUUUUUUGGGGGGGGAUAAAUUAUCAAUUAAACAAAAGUAUGGUAGGGUGAAUAAGAUAAAAUAAAAAAAAUUAAAUUAAAAAAAUAAAAUAAAAAUAAUCAAAAUAUUUAUGGGAAAGGACAAAAUUACGUGUCUACAUCAUGCCCCCUUUGGAUGUAAACACAUGGUGUUUUCAUACGAAGCAGUAGACAACGAGACAGAAUUUUAUCCUGACCUUUAUUCAAAAGCACGGAGCACGAGGAAGGAGGGAAACCAGGUCAUGACUUAGGACAUCCUACCUACCCAAUUUAUGAGGGAAUCGAGUGACAGUUAUCUCAAAGGAUUGGAAGGAGAUGGACUAUGCCGAGUUAGAGAGUCGAGUGAGGUUCCAUCGAGGUUUCGGUCCGCGGCUCUGUUAUUACAUCAAAAAUGAAAAUUACAAGUUAAAAACAUAAAUGAAAUUACAAAAUCCUAUGUACGCAGCUUCUGUUGGACUCUUGACUUGAGUUUCAUCACCCUAUUCUUUAGGCGGGCUCCUGAUUUGAAAUUCCUUCAACUUGUUGCUUGGUUUUCAAUUUCAUCACCUGUUCUCCAGGUGGGCUCCUGACUUGAUAUUUUUGAUCUGUUGACUUUCAUUUUCUUCACUUUGUUACUUGACUUUCAACUUCUUCACCUUGUUGCUUGACUUUCAAUUUCUUCUCCUUGCUGCUUGACUUUUCAUUUAUUCUCACUGUGCUUCAGGCGGGCUCCUGAAAUCACAUUAAAACUAGAAAUAAAAUUAUCCCAAAUAAAAUUAUUGUAAAGAGAAAAUCGUUUGCCAAAAAAGUAAAGUUCCAAAACAGAUAUUAAAUUUUAUUUUUUUGCCCCAAUUUACCAUCAGAAGAUUUUUGAGAAAGUUAGAUCAUACCUACUUGCAUGUUGCAAUAAUGAAUCAAGACUCUGACCAAGAAAUGCAUUUCUUGAGAGUAAAAUUGAUUGACCAAGACUAGGAAGUGCGUUUCCUAAGAAUUAAAGUGAGGAAUUCUGACUAGAAAGUGCGUCAUCUAGAGAUAGAAUUUUAAAUUAAAAAGUGUGUCACCUGACAAAUGAAAACUAACAAGGAAGUGUGUCUCAUAAUGAUUAAGUGCAAUGACUCGACUAGAAAGUACAUUUUCUAGAAAUCAAGGAGAAUAACUCGACUAAAAGGUAUGUCUUAUAGGAAUCAAAAGAAAUAACUCGACUAAAAGGUACGUCUUAUAGGAAUCAAAGGGAGAUGGCUCGACUAAAAGGUACGUCUUAUAGGAAUCAAGAGGGAUGACUCGACUAAAAGGUAUGCCUUAUAGGAAUCAAGGGAUAUGACUCGACUAAAAGUUACGUCUUCUAGAGGUCAAGGGGAAUGACUCAACUAAAAAGUAUGUCUUAUAGAAAUCAAAGGGAGAUGACUCAACUAAGAGGUACGUCUUAUAGGAAUCAAGAGGGAUGACUCGACUAAAAGGUACGUCUUAUAGGAAUCAAGGGAGAUUAUUCGACUAAAAGGUACGUCUUACAGGAAUCAAAGGGAGAUGACCGACUAAAAGGUAUGUCUUAUAGAAAUCCAGGGAAAUAACUCGACUAAAAGGUACGCCUUGUAAGAAUCAAGGAGGAUGACUCGACUAAAAGGUGUGUCUUCUAGGGGUCAAGGGGGAUGACUCGACUAAAAGGUACGCCUUAUAGGAAUCAAGGGGGAUAACUCGACCAAAAGGUACAUCUUCUAGGAAUCAAGGGAGAUGAGUCGACUAAAAGGUACGUCUUAUAGGAAUCAAAGAGAGAUGACUCGACUAAAAGGUACGUCUUAUAGGAAUCCAGGGAAAUGACUUGACUAAAAGGUAUGCCUUGUAGGAAUCAAGGGGGAUGACUCGACUAAAAGGUACGUCUUCUAGGGGUCAAGGGAAUGAAUCAACUAAAAGAAAUGCCUUAUAGGAAUCAACAGGGAUGACUCGACUAAAAGGUACGUUUUCUAGGAAUCAAAGGGGAUGACUCGACUAAAAGGUACGCCUUAUAGGAAUAAGGGGGAUGAAUCGACUAAAAGGUACGUCUUAUAAGAAUCAAGGGGGAUGACUUGACUAAAAGGUACGUAUUCUAAGAGUCAAAGGGAAUGACUCGACUAGAAGGUACGUCUUCUAGGAUUCAAGGGGGAUGAAUCAACUAAAAGGUACGUCUUAUAGAAAUCAAGGGGGAUGACUCGACUAAAAGGUACGUCUUAUAAGAAUCAAGGGGGAUGACUUGACUAAAAGGUACGUAUUCUAAGAGUCAAAGGGAAUGACUCGAAUAGAAGGUACGUCUUCUAGGAGUGCAGGUUCAAUUUAAGAAGUGCAUCACCCAGCAAAUGAAAACUAAAAUCCCUGGACAGGAAAGUGUGUCUCCGAGGGAUAUAAGAUGAUGAAUUUUUACCAUGAUUUAAUUAUCAAACAAGUGCAGCAACAUUGCUUCCUGCAUUUGUAAAAGCGAGAAAUUAGGGGCCUUGAUGUUUAGGCUUUGAAAUCCUUGAUUUAAAGGUAACAUGUGUUCCUGUUUCAUCAAAUAAAACUUGUGAGUUUAAAACAUGGUGGUUGAUUUGUGUCUUUAGCUUUCGUGGCGAUCACUCUUGCCCUCGACACAUUUAACCUUGCUUCCAACCAUUAGCAUAUAUCAUUGACUUGCUGAAUCAUUGACCCGAGCUCAGCUUAUUAAGAGUGACUAAAACAAACACAGUAUCUCUGCUUUGCCAUGCUUCUCAGAUAGACCCUUUGAACCUUGGUAUUUCCAUGAGUUCCCUGACUUCUCUGUUGACAAAACUUUCUGCAUUCCCUCUUUUGGCUCACAAUCAUGUCUCUUUCAUGUGCUAGCUUUUGUCUUACUUUGUCCAAUUAAAGAAGCUGGUAGCUAGUUUUAAAAUCUUUUCUCACUUCUUUUGACACGGACUAGACUUAAAGACGAGAAAAAUAAUGACAAUGGUUAAUAUUUGGAUAAUUGACUCAAUAAAAUAAAAAUAAAAAAUAAAUAAAAGACAAUGAAUGUCCUUAUUUGAAACAAACAAGUAAAAAUUUAUCUAAAAAUGACAGUCAACUCUAAUGAUUAUGCCAUGAAUUUUGGAUUAAGUUGCCUGAUCUUUUCAUCCAAAUUUUCUGCCAAUUGUUCUUGAGUUAACUGGGCUUGAAACUGAGUUGUUUCCUUAGAUCAACUGCAUUUAUGACCCCAUUCGGCUAGUGGCGCGUUGAAGGGUUUUCGCCAAAAAGCUUCUCUUAUUUUUUUUUAUCACCUCACCAUUGCCUUAUGGUAUCCGAGAGGAUUUUUCACCAAUAAGAUUCUCUUAUUUUCAUUUCUCUUAACUCACAGUCGUCUUACAGUGCCUGUAAGGGUUUUCACCGACAAGACUCUCUCAUUUUAAUCUCUCUCAACUUACCAUCAUCUUACGGUGCCCGUGAGGGUUUUCACUAAUAAGAUGCUCUCAUUUUUAUUUCUCUCCUAAUUUCAUGAGGAAGAUGAGUAGUUCCCAAUGUUAUCAUAUCCAUAGCAUGCUUAGCCUUAACAUUCUCAAAAAUUGAUCCGAAGGUCUUUCUUUGGUUGUAACUUGGCUUUUGGAUAGGGUUGGAAAGAAAGGAUGACAUGGGGCCCAAACGAUACUAAAAGUGGGGUAAGACUUACAACUUUUAGAAUCAACUCAAACAAUGAGGAUUAACUCAUGCCCCAGUUUCUUUUGACUGGGAAAUUCUAAAUUUUAUUUGGUUGGACCUAGCCCAGAGUAGGGCAGCCUACGUAUCUCACCCCCAAAAGAGGAGAAUCAGGUCACGCGUAGUUCCGGCGGCUUGUUCUUUUGCUUGAUUCUGAUUUUUUCUUUUUUUUUUCUUUUGUUGACUCUUUUAUUGACUUUUUUUGUCUUUUUGGGACCUUCUGACUCUAUUUUUUCUUGACGCACUUUUCUUUUCCUUCUUUUGGACACAUUUUUUCUCUCAUUUCUUUUUGAAACUUUCUGACUCUAUUGUUUUACUCGAAACUUUUCUUUUGAGCUUUACUGACCCUAUCUUGAUUCCAAAAGAGGGGUAUGAAAGAAAAUCAGACUAAAGCUCAAAUGGGGUUAACAAAGGAUGACACGAUGUUUGGAUAGCAGAAUGAAAUGCCUUCGUCAUAUCAAUUCUUGAAAAUGCAAGUACAUAUCAUGCAAUAUGAAAGUAAGAGAUGAAGAUCAUUUGUGAUUUUUUUACAAUCAAUUCUUGAAAAUGCAAGUACAUAUCAUGCAAUAUGAAAGUAAGAGAUAAAGAUCAUUUGUAAUUUUUUUACAACACUAUUUUUAACUGAGACUGUGCGUCGCUACUUCUUCUGCAAACUCCAUCUUUGUUGUACAUUACUCAUGCUUUCGUGGAGCUAAUUUUUCUAUUCCUUUUGAUAUAGGAUCACACAUCCACUAUUUAACCUAAUUGAGACAUGUCUUUCAAAUGCUGACCAAGUUAUUCUCACGAUUCUCAAAAUAAUUGCCUUAAUUUUCAAAGAAGGCUUCAACUUGAUCACCAAAUGCCCCAGCACUCUAUCUAUUUUCUCAGACGCUUUUUUUUUCUAACUUUAACCCUCUGAUUUAAUGCUCAUGCUUAAACUGGAUUUUAAGAUCUGGUUGAAAAUUUCACUAGCAUGUCAUAUCACUAGAGUCAAAUAAAAUGUACUAUGUAAAGAAAACAAACAAACAACACAUAUUUAAAUCACAAAUGAAAAUGGGACACUUCAUUUAGUUGAAACAAAAAAUAGAAGGGUUUGAACAUAAAUGACAAAAGGACAAAACAAGAUAGAUCCCGAACUACAACCCUGAAAUAAUUCGGAUAACAGAAAAUAAAACAAAAUAAACUACCAGACCUUUUCCUAGUAGGGAGGGGUGACUUUUCAAUUGCUCAGCCUGACAUCUUAGCCAUUGGUUUGCAUAUCAGCAUGACUAGAGCUUUUCUUACUGUCAAUGUUCUACACCAUAAUUGAUUUAUCUUGAAUCAUUUUUUUAAUUUCUCUUUCAAAGCACGACAAUCUUCAAUACUGCGACCCUGAACAUCAGAAUGAUAUGCACAUCGUACAUUAGGAUCAAAACUUCUUGCAUGUGGGUCAGGAGUAUACCCAAGGAGAGAAGUAAUCAUGCCUUGUUGUACCAAUAUCUAGAAUAAAUUGGCAUAGGAUUUCCCAAUAAGAGUGAAAUUGUCUUUUUCCUUCUUCCUCUUUGCGAACUUUAGCCUCAGAUGAAACUUGACUUUAGAGGUUCCUUGGAAAAUUUGUGGGGGUCGAGGACGAUGUUGAGGGACAGGUGCAUGCCAUUGUGGAUAAGAAGAUAGAUGAGUAUACAAUUAUGCAUUGUUCAAAGGAUAUUGAGGAAGUGGAAUGGGAUUUCUUGGAUUUUGGGGAAAGAAACCUUGUUGCAAGUGGUUAUGUGGAUCUAAUAUGUAAGAUCGGGAUUGAGGCUGACAGUAUUGGUGGGUUGGACCUCUUUAACUCUGCUUUGGCCCUGGCAUGACAAUAGGUGUAUUUUCCUUCUUCUUUCCUUUAGGUUCCCUUGGUUGAUUGCAAUGUCGUCCCAAAUGUUUCACAGAAUCCUUCUGUCCAUCAGGCUCCCCAAAUUUUGAUGUCUGAAAGCUGGAAGGAAGGUUAACACUUGAAGACAUGCCUCAAUUUUUAUCUGAAACAUCUUCGUAGCCAAUAAGUCCAGGGGAAUUUUUCAUAUCAUUUUUUACACUCUUAACUUUCCCAACCACUUUCUCUAGCUCUUCUCGCAUGCUAGGCUUCUUAGUAAGAAAUUUUGGCAGUCCACUUAAUUUAACGGUAGGCUCAAGAGUAUAACAAUGAUCAUCAAGAGUAUUGAACGUGGAUUCACUAGUAGACUAGGGAAGCACAAUCGUUGGAUUGAUAGCCAAAGUAGAAGUCUUAGUAGAAGGUUGAGCAACAAAAGCACUGACUGUAUGUGGUGCUAUGAAUGUGGUUGACUUAUACUGAGGAGCUAAAGAAAGAGUGGUGGAAGUAUUGAGGUGCAUUUGACGUGGAAUGGAUUUUGAGGCAUGCUGUGGUGCAUCAACAACAGUUGGAAACUGACUUUGCAAUUUUGGUGGAAUACUCAAGGUAUUUGCAAGGUCAAAAGUGGGGAACGGAGGUGGAGGCAGCCCACUGGCCCAAACUCGGUACAUUUUCAUCAUUUGUUGUCUCAGUCUCAAAUUUCCUUCCUUUAAACUCUCAAUUUUCUGACUCUUUGUUUCAUACGUGGUGUCACUCUCUAUAUCCUUGUUGGACACAACUAAACCUUUCUUGGAUUUGCUGUGAUAUGGAGGACCAGCCAGGAAGCCACAAACCAACCACCUUAAACUAACUGAACAAGAGACAACAAAUAUGUUAGAGGUCAACAUUUUUCAAAACCUCUCUUUUUUUUUUUAAAAGAUCACCGAACCCAAGAAGGGCGCCUACGUAUCUCACUCCCGAGAGAGGAGAAUCAGGUGUGCAUAGUUCGUGAAGUCUUGCCAAAAUGGCCAAUUAAACUCUUUUCCUUUUUCUUUUUUUUUUCUUUAAAUUUUAAGAAGAAAAGAAAAAUGACAAAUUGUCAAAAGAAUAGACAACAUUUUUUUUUGAAAUUUUUAGUUUUAAUAACCUAUACAAAAUGAAACCUAUGAUUAUCAAAGAAACUCUUUUUUUGGGUUUUCAAUUUUGCAUUUCAUACGAAAAUGAAACUUGAACCUAUUAAAGGAAUUUUUUUUUGUAGUUUUCUUUUAUUGAUGCAUAGACACCUACUCUAAAUGAAGCGUGAAAAAAAUAUUUUUUUGAAUUUUUUGAAAUAAGAUCCCCGAACCAACAAUAGCCUUUCUACGUAUCUUACUCCGGAAAGAGGAGAAUCAGGGGUGCGUAGUUCGUCCAGAUUGGACAAUUAAGGAUUACUUAACAAACUACACCAAACUUGAGAGACACAACCAAAGACUAACGAUGAAAAAUGUCAAUAAAAUCUUUUUUGGAGUUUUCAGCUUGACACUUCAAAUAAAAAUGACACCAACAAUUAUAAAAUGAAAAAAAUCUUUUUGGUAUUUUCAUUACAAUGAAAUGUACAAAUUUCUACCAUUUUUUGCAUUUUCUUUUAUAAAAACUGCUAAAAAAUCUUUUUUAAAAAUUACGAAUUAUGAAUGCAUGCUAAAAGAGACAAAGUGAGAAAUUUUUUUUGAUGUUUUGAUUUUUGAACAAAUGAGUGCAGAAAAUAAAAAAUCUUUUUGAAUUUUUGAAUUGUGAAAAACAAAGGCCAUAAGGAACUCUAAAACUACAAAACUCUUUUUUUUUCUUUUCGACUCACUUUUCUUCCUUCUUUUUUUUUCAACAAUUUCUUGCCUACACACUUUGCUUCUAACUUAUGCUUUUGCCCAAAUCAAUCUGUCAAAUGAUCUCAUUACCCUCAAAGAUGCAACAUUUAGCAUGUAGGGAUGCCUUAGAGGUGAAUUUCCUACAAAGGACCAAGUGGGUCCUGCUAGGUCUCCAAUAUGAUACACCUAAGCAUGACCUAAAGGCCGACCUACGUUGGGGUUCACUAACAAGGCUGUUCGGGGGAGCGUAUGGUCGAUAGUGGCUUUUUUGCUUUCCACCUACUCCAUAACACCAACGGCUCNNNNNNNNNNNNNNNNNNNNNNNNNNNNNNNNNNNGUCGUCUAUAACACGUGUACUACGGACUUGUUGCAGAAAGAAUAACUCAGGUUAUACACAUGAUGCCAGAUAUAAAGCAGUAACACAUAAGAUAAAACUGUAAACAAAAAGCACGUAGACACUCAACAAUGAUAAACAAUAACACAAAACAACACAAACAAUGUCUAUACACCCAUAAUAUCAAACAAAGCUGAUACAACUCAAAAAAAUUAGCUCAAAUUCUGAAAAUCCCUAGCAGAGUCGCCAGAGCUGUCAUACCCCUUUUUCAACUCCAAAAGAAUUAUUUUUAUGGGCUUCGAAAGGGUUUUCAUUAUUAAAGUGACAAAAUGAAGAUAAUUUGUUUCGUAAAGGACCUUUUACAUUCAAAACUCAGAGCGCCACUUGGCAUAAUCUGGUGUGCCAAGUCACUAUUGGAAAAUCCUUUUCAAAACCAUUUGACUCUUUAAAAUGGUUUGCGAACAGAGAUUUCGGCUAAGGAAUUCUGUUGACCGAGGGGAAGGUGUUAGGCACCCCUCGAUCCCGUGGUUCGACCAUGGUCGCUUGGUGGAGCGUAUCGACUAAUUUUGACACUACGAAUGUACAAACCACACAAAACACGUAAAACAAUCAAACAAACAAACAAAACAAAACAAAAAAAUGAUUCAAAAGUACAGCGUCCUGUCCAAUUUUUACAGUCCAAAAUAGAAAAAUGCAAAAAUAAAUCUUAUCUAACCUACACUAAUACUAACUACGCUCCCGUGCUUUACCCGACGAUUCAGGCCUUCCUCACGAACGUCUUCCGCUAACAUAGUACGUCGGGGCAUUCCCCAGUGAAUAAAUACAUUGUGUCUCGGGGCAUUCCCCGGCUAACUAAAUACAUUUGAAUUAAACAUGAUAAACUAGAAACCAAACAUUCACACGCACAUUAAACAUUCAACACAUUUAAUAAACACAUCACUCCUAAGUUUUGCCUACCCAAACCGACAUUUGCCUAUCCAUUUCAACAUAUUAUAAUUCUAUCACAUUCCAACAAUAUUCAUGCUCAUUACGAAUUAAACAAAACAACAAUAAACCAAAGUUAAUCUAAAUUCAAUUUUUUAUCAAUUUCUCAAUUCCAUCCCCAAACAAUCAAUUUCAAUUCUCAAACGAGAUACCAUUUCACCAAAACAUAAUCAAGCAAACCAACCACGAGUCAAAAUAAACACGCAUUCAUCACCAACAAGGACCAAAUAACACGCAAUAUUCAAUCCAACAUCAAAUAUAAUAAAUAAUGAAAUAAAAAGAGAAACAGAGUAGAAUUGGACCUCAAUUUGAAGCUUUCAAACUCAAUGUAAUUCGAAUAAAGAGAGUCCGCACCCGAAAACCUCGAGCCGAACCUUAACACCAACAAUCCAACUCGACAAUGUGAAAUAAUGACCCAUUCACCGUCACUGUUCAUUGACAUUGUUCAUGUCGUUACUGUUCACGUCGUUAUUGUUCACUCCGUUACUGUUCACUUCAUUACUGUUCACUUCGUUACUGUUCACACUAUUACUGUUCACCAACACUGUUUACGCCGGAUUCCCAUUGUCCAGACCCUUUUUCUCUCUCAAUUUUUUUUCUCUUGCGCGAUUCUCUCUUUCUCUCCCUCAUUUUUUUUUUGUUCUUGUGAGAAAGAUGAUUUGGUGAUUGUUGUUAUUGUAGAGAAAAUGAUGAUGAAAGAAUGAGCCUCCCCCUUUUUCCCUUUUAGAAUUUUUCUUUUAUAUUUUUUAUUUGAUUUUUCUUUUCCUUUUUUUAUUAUCCUAUGUGGAAGCAUAUAAUUGGUGGCUUGUGGGAAUAAGUGUGUGGCAUGUGGGAAAGUUAGUGUGGCAUGUGGAAAGAUGAGGGUGGCGUGUGGAAAAAUGAGUAGGGCGUGUGCCUUUUGCAUGUAUCCAAUGAAAAAUGGCAAGUUAGGUGUUGAGGUGACAUAGUGAGGUGACAAAGAUGCUAUGUAUUUAAUUAUUUUCAAUUCUUUUUUUUUUGGGAGAAAUUAUCAAUUAAACAAAAGUACGGUAAGGUGAAUAAAAUAAAAAUUAAAAUUAAAAAUUAAAAAAAUAAAAUAAAAUAAAAAAGAUGAAAAUAUUUUCAGAAAAGGACAAAAUUACGUAUCUACAGACAUGACUCAAAAUAAAAGGUUUGAAGGUCGAAAAUUAUAUUAAGGUUGACAAGUAGCAGGCUAAAGUGUAUCUAUCUGUUCCUUUAUUAGUACUACUAGUCAAGCAUACGUGCGUUGCACGUGUGUUUCAUGUCAAGCCAUCAAUUAUAUAGAAACUACAACAAAAUAAUUGAUAAUUGAAAUAUUAGAACAAUACAAUUAAGUUUGAUCUUUGGUGAUUUGUAAACAACAUCUUUAAAGCUCAUCAAAAAACUAGUUAUAAAAAUAUUUGUUCCACCAAAUUUACCUUGUAAAUGCUUUUAUAUUAUUAUAGAAAGAAAGAGUCCUCAAUUUGUAGAAGUUCAAACUAUCGUCCAAAAAAAAUUAACUAAUAUGAAACAUUUUUAUCUGGGGUGCACUCAUAAAAUUUUUCUAAUAAUAUUAUAAUAUAAAAAUAAUAAAGAUACCCAAAUAUAGCAAAAAUCCUGCACGUCUGAACAAUAAUAUACUAUUAAUAUUUUUUAUUAUGUCAAAAAAAAAUAGAGGCCUAAUACUAUCAAAUUUUGAAGCAAAAAAAAUUUCGGGCUUUAGUUAUUUUCCUUGUUUUAAUUUAUUAAAAAAAAGGCUGCUAUUAAAUUUUGUUAUUUUAAUUUUGAUAAAAAUCAUCUUAUUUUUCUUUUUUUUCCUCUUAUUUUGUAUUUAGGAAUCCUUUCUCAAGUACACAAGAAGAAAAAAAAACUCAUCAAUAAUAAAUUUUCUUAUAUUUUUUCUUACCGUAUAUUUUAGGAUUUCUUUAUUUAUUAUAAAUAUAAUAAUAUAAUGAUUGAAUAAAAUAAGUGAAAAGACAAUUUUAUCUAUUGUGGAGAUUUUUAAUGAAGGGUAAAAAAUUCAAAUCACUUUUCUAAGGGUCUUUACACUUUUAUUAUAGUAUAGAUUAUAGAUAUAGAUAAUAAAUUAUAGAUAUAGAUAGAGAUUAUAGAUAUAGAUAUUGCGGAAAUUUUUAAUGAAGGGUAAAAAAUUUUAAUAUCUUCACAUUUUUAAUAUAUUAUUAUUAUUAUAGAUAUAGAUGCUUUCGAUUUUAUUACUACGGUUAUUUCUUUUACUAUGAUUAUAUUUAUAUUUGUACUUUUUAUAUUUUUCUUUCUUUAAUAUUUUCCUUAUGCAUAGUACUAUAUAAUUGGAUAAUUCUUAAUUUAGAUGUGAUAUUUUGUGGAUCAGAAUUUGUUGGGUCUUAGGACACGUUUGGUUCAUGUUAUAAUUAUAUUAUACUGUUUUUUUUAUAUAUAAGGGGGUUACAUAAAUUUUGUCUAUUUUAUCUAUCAAUUUUUUGUUUUUUCAGAUGAAUCAAAUUGCUCCACCUAACUAUUGUAUUGCCUUUUGUCUAUUUUAGCUUUUAUACUAAUUUUUUUUUUUAAAGAAAGUUCAAUGUGAGCCUCUGUCAUUGGUAUAUUGACGUUGCAGUAAUUUUGUGGGUCUUUUUUUUUUUUCACUUACUUUAGGUGGUCCUCUUUAGAUAGAUUUACUUUACGUGUUUUCAUAAAAAUUGAAUAUCUGCAUAUUUGACUUAAAAUAAAUUCAAAAUUUUUAUAUGAGCUGAAUUAGGCGGGUCAAAUGAAGUAUAGCACACAAAUAACUAUUAUAUUACCUUUUGUCUAUUUCAUCUUUUACACUAAAUUUCUUUUUUAAGAAAGUUCAUUCAAACGUGAACCUCUGUCAUUGAUAUAUUGACGCUGUAGUAAUUUUUGUGGGUCUUUUUUUUUUUCACUUACUUUAGAUGGUCUUCUUUGGAUAGAUUUACUUGAAGUGUUUUUAUCAAAAUCGGAUAUCUGUACACUUGACUUAAAGUAAAUUUAAAUUUUUUAUUAGAAUUGAUUUAGACGGAUCAAAUGGAGUAAAGCACACGAAUAACUAUUAUAUUGCCUUUUGUCUUUUUAGCUUUUACACUAAUUUUUUUUUUUUAAAAAAGUUCAUUCAAACGUGAGCCUCUAUCAUUGGUAUAUUGACGAUGUAGAAAUUUUUGUGUGUCUUUUUUCUUCGCUUACUUUAGAUGGUCCUCUUUGAAUAGAUUUACUUGAAGUGUUUUUAUCAAAAUCGGAUAACUGUACACUUGACUCAAAGUAAAUUUAAAUUUUUUAUUAGAAUUGAUUUAAACAGGUCAAAUGGAACAAAGCACACGAAUAAUUAUUAUAUUCCCUUUUUUCUUUUUUAGCUUUUACACUAAUUUUUUUUUUUUUUUAAGAAAGUUCAUUCAAACUUGAACCUCUAUCAUUGAUAUAUUUACAUUGCGGUCAUUUUUGUGGGUCAUUAUUUUCACUUAGUCUAAGUGAUCCUCUUUGAAUAGAUUUAUCAAAAUCUAAUAUUCAUGCACUUACUAUAAGUGGUAUAUAUAUUGACAUUGUAGUCAUUUUUGUGGGUCAUUUUUUUUUUUCACUUUUUCUAAGUGGUCCUCUUUGGAUAGAUUUAUUUUAGGUGUUUUUAUCAAAACCGAAUAUCUAUGCUUUAUCAAAAUCGAAUAUCUAUGCACUUACUCUAAGUGGUUUAUAUAUUGACAUCGUAAUCAUUUUUGUGGGUCUUUUUUUUUUCCACUUACUCUAUGUGGUGCUUUUUAAAUAGAUUUAUUUUAGGUGUUUUUAUUAAAAUCGAAUAAUUUAUGCACUUGACUUUAAAUAAAUUCAAAUUUUUUAUAUAUGCUGAAUUGGACGGGUCAAAUGGGACAAAGCACUCAAAUAACCUACUUUUGGGGUCAUCAUUUAACUUGUAUUCGUUUAUUAGAAUUUUUACAAGUUUAGCCACUUUAGAAAUAAUUUCAAAUGUACUUGACUGAAAUUAAAAAUUUGUGUCUGACUUCAGAAAUUUGUUUGAAGUUUUGCCGGCUUUAUGAGGAUGAAAUAUAAUUAAGAUAUUUUUGUCUGAAGUUUGGAAUGGCUUGUAAGGCUGAUUUCGUAUAUUUUUAAUAUAAGUUGUGGAUUUGACAAGGCCUAAUUCAGAUAUAUUUUAGCGAAGCCUUAUCUGGCUUGACAAGUCUUAACAUCAAUUUUUUUUUUUUUCUGAAGAUAUGGUCUUGACAAGGUCAACUUUUAGAUAUUUUUUAUUAAAGUUGUUAGGAGGGUGAAACUUCAAUCAUACAUGACUGAUGUGAAUGUUAAAAACUAAAAAUUAUUUAAAGUUAAACUUCAAUCGAGUAUAUCUAAAACUCUGAAUAUUUUUCUCAUUGGCGCUCUUCUAUUUAUGAAUUGGCGUGAUAUGCAAACGAAGAAAAUUGAAUUACAGAUGUGAAGGUAAAAUAGAAAGUACAGAUCUAACAAAUUUAAUAGUUUUAGUUCAAAUUUUAUAUUUUCGUUAUAUAUAUAUAUAUUAAUUUAAAACCUAAAAACUCCAAAGGUUUAGAAUCUAAAAUUCAUAAAAUUUCAAAUUUUGAAUUCUUUUUCUUUUAUUGAAGUCAUUGAUGACAUCAAGAAUAAUAAAAUAAAACGUGUCCUUUUAAGGUUUCUUUUUCACUUUUCCUUUCCAAAAAUGCUUGUUUAACAUCAACAUUUAUAUCUAGCUAUAUAUAUAUAUAUAUACAAGAACAUGCAUGUGUGAAGAAAAUUAAACAUUAUUAAUUAUCAUUAUUAUCCAAAAUGGCAACAUCAUUCCCUAUGAAUGCUGGUGAUGGUCCUUAUAGCUACUCAAAAAACUCCCAUUUGCAGGUAAUUGUUUCUACUUUUAAGGGAUCGUUUGGUAGAGUGCGUAAAAAUAGGGUUGAAUAUGGUGUAUUAGUAAUGUUGAUAUUAGUAAUAUCGAUGUUUCUUUAUUUGUGUAAUCGGGUAGAGGGUUAGGGGUGGGAGCGUUUCUUUAUUUGUGUUUGACGUUUCUUGUUCGUGGGUGUUGAGUGAUGUCUAUGUUUUCGGUUAGAUAGUCUUUUAGCAGUAUCUAGUGGCUGUUGUGUUACCUUGUGGAUACCGGUGUUAGUUUAUUUUGCAUAUUCUACUAAUCUAUACGCAUUUAUAUUUUGUGAUUUGCUAUACUGUUAUCGGUCCUAAGCCGGAGGUCUAUCGGAAACAGCCUCUCUACUUCUUCGAAGGUAGUGGUAUGGUCUGCGUACACUCUACCCUCCCUAGACCCUACUAUGUGGGAAUAAACUGGAUAUGUUGUUGUAGUAUGCACUGUUUGGUUCGGAAUAUUAAAAGUAACAUACAUUGUAUAGGUAUAAUAUAUGAACGUGUCCUUUAACUUGACUUCAACAGGGAUAAUCUAACACCAUCCAACUUUGGGUAUGCACAAGUAGACACUUAGGGGUCGUUCGGUGGGAGGGAUAAGGAUAAAUAAUCUCUCGAUUAAUUUAGAAGAGGAGCUUAUUCCAUGUUUGGUUGGGACAAAAUACAUGGGCGUUAACUCAUCCCAGGAUUAAUCAUCCCGAUAUUGUAAUGUUUUUUCUUAUUCCUUCAUGAGGAUGGGAUAACUAAUUUCGGGAUUAGUAAUCCAGGGAUAACUUGUUUUCCAACCAAACGACCCCUUAAAGUUGUAGGCACAAUUAAAAAAGUACCCCAAACAAGGUAUUAAUAUACCCAUAGCUGAUGAAUGCAGGAUUUUUUUCUAAUGCAUCCGACCAAACGAUCCCUAAGUAUUUACUCUAAAUACUUAUCUUUUCCAUAGAUCCCAAACUCAAGAUAAAAGUAUUUGAAAAAAAAAGAGCAAACAACAUAAAUCCCGACAGUUUUGAGCUUAAUUACAGAAAAUUCUAACAUUUUACAUAAUUACUGAAAAUUCUGAUUUUGAGUCUUUCAAGAUACAUAAUUAGCUCCUGAUACAUCUAACGAAAAUACAUUUUUUUUACUUUGUAAAGAUACAUAAUUAGCUUCAGAUACUUUUUUUUUUUCAAUUUUGAAUCUGUCAACAUACAUAAUUAGUUCUCUGAUACAUUCAACGAACAUACAUAAUUAGUUGAGAUUUUUUGUAAUUACUUUAUAAAGAUGAAAAAUUGUGUAAAUAUGAUAAGUUAAAGGUGUAUAUAUCUUUUGGUAUACCUCAUCUAGUAUACAUGCAUAACUUUAUACCGAAAAAUAAUUUUUGGUGUCAUACUAAAGUAACUGAACUUUUUCAUCUAUAAUAAUAGAAUCACUAAACUUUACUGUCAAAUGUGACUUUACUGUUAUAAUUGCAUGCAGAAAGAACUGUUAGAUAGUGCAAAAGACAUCAAAAUCAUGUCUUCUUCUUCAAAUACAUUACACAUUGCAGAUUUGGGAUGUUCAGUUGGACCAAACACUUUCAUUGCAAUGCAACAUGUUGUACAAGUUCUAAGAGCUGUUUUAGAAGUACUUUUCGUCAAUCAUUUUGGAAGUGAAAUAGCAGAAGAAGCUUUUACAAGGACGAUUCUCAAAAGUGAUGAAAUUUCAAUAUGGAUGAAAACGAAUUACCAGAAAGCAUGUCAGUUAUUUGUCGCUUUGAAGCGUAAAUAAGUUUCUGUGAAGAAAUCUAUAUAGUAUAUAAUUUCAGGUCUAUUGAGUGAUGUGACACGUUUCAUAGACAGAAAUUAUUAUUUGUGUGUUUUCUAAUAUUUUUGACCUUUUCAUCGUAUCUUUCACUUAAUGUGUUCUACAAAGAAAAUUGAAAAGUUUAUUUAUUAAUGUUUUAGAUAUCCUUAGCAGUUUAGUUUUAUUAACCCAUUUUACUCCAAUUGUCAAUAUAUGAUAUAAUUCAGGUCUAUGGAGAGAUAAUUAUGGCAAGUUUCACCAACAUGGGUUGUGGUGCAGUGGAUGAGGCUGCUCUACCCUUAACCAGAGGUCGAGGGUUCGACCCUGGGUAUGGAGAAAACUCUGUUGGGAGCGCUGCCACCUUAAUGUGCCCUUCAACGCACGAUCCAAAUUAGUCGAGGCUCCAAUGGAGGCACCAAACAUCGGAUGGGAAACCAAAAAAAAAACUAUGGCACGUUUCAUAUGUCUCGAAUAUCAAAAAAUAGAUAAAUAAAAAUAUUUCAAUAACGAAAUUCUAGAACAUAAAAUAAUAUUAUCAAAUUGGACAAAUAUUAUUGCGCAUUUUUAUUUUUAAUAACAUAAAUAAGUAAAUAUGAACGGACAGAAUAACAUAAUUAAUUGGGCCAAUGCUUGCCAAUAUUUCUAUAAAAUCAACAUUGAUUGGGACGAUUAAACACAUACAUAUAUAGAAACUAUAUUAUUGAGGUACCUUUUGCCACUAUAUUAUUUCUAUAAUAUAUAUAAGAGGGAGGUUGGGUGCUGAAGCAGAUCGACAUGCCUGCUUCAGCAGUCAGCUUCAGCUGCUUCAACCGUGUUUUUAUAAAUAAUUCUCUUAUUUAUAAGAGGCAGUUGAGCAGCUGAAGCAGGCAGGAGGUCGAUAUGCCUACUUCAGCUGCUUCACCUGUAAUUUUACUAUAUCACCCCUCAAUUAAUUAUUAUAAAUUAUCUAUGUAUUAAAAAAUUAAUAAUAUUUAAUAAAAAAUUAAAAUAGACAUUUAUGAUAUAUCUGCUUCAGCCGGUUCUGUCACACCCCUUUUUUAACCGAAAAAAAGAUUAUGUAUUGGGUUCGAAAGGGUUUUUAUUAUUAAGUGACAAAAGAAAACAAUUUGUUUCGAAGAAGGAUUGUUUUUACAUUUGAAAUCAGAGUCUCCACUUGGCAUAAUCUGGUGUGCCAAGUCACCAUUGGAAAGUCCUUUUCAAAACCAUUUGACUCUUUAAACUGGUUUGCGAACAGAGAUUCCGGCUAAGGAAUUCUGUUGACCAAGGGGAAGGUGUUAGGCACCCCUCGAUCCCGUGGUUCAACCAUGGUCGCUUGGUGGAACAUAUCGACUAAUUCGACGCUAAGAGUGUAUAAACCACACAAAAACAUACAAACCAAUCAAUCAAACAAACAAACAAACAAACAAACAAAUCCAAAAUUAUAGUGUUCAGUCCAAUUAUUACAAUCCAAAAAUAGAAAAAUACGAAAAAUAUAAAUCCUAUUCUAAGCUAGUCCUAGACUAAGCUCCAAUGUUUCACCCGAUGCCUCGGGCCUUGAUCGAUAUCCGCCUUCGCCAACAUGAUACGUCGGGGCAUUCCCCUGUGAAUAAAUACAUCAAUCUUCGGGGCAUUCUCCGGCCAAAUUAAUACACUUCAAUCCAAAAACAUAAACCAACACAUUUCAACAAAACACCCUCAAGUUUCAACGAUCGCAAGUCAUAAACUUUGCCUAACCCACUUAUAUUUGCCUAUCAAUGGUCGACCUAAACAUGAUACUACCAUUUUUCAACAACAUCUAUGCUUAUUCCGAACUAGACUACAUAUCACGUUCAAUGUCAACGAUUAAUUAAAACAACAAUAUUCAUUUUUAUCAACUUUCAAUUCCCGUUUUGCCCAAUUCCAUUGUCAAACUAGCUAACCAACUCUUCGACUAUCAAAUCCAACAUCAACCACGUACACACAACAAAGAUUCAAAUAUGCUAACCAAACAAGUUAUUCACACCCAUAACAAACAACUAAAAUUCAAAAAUAGAAUAGAGAAUGAGAUGAGAAAUGGACCUCAAUGCUUUAUUGAUUAACUGAUCUUUCCGAAUAGAACCGCGUCCAACGGAACUCAACGUCGAACCUCAAAACGACGGAACCGCAUCUCGGACUAGCCUCGGUAUGAACCCACAACUUGAACAAAAAUCCAAACCAGAGUCGAAUGCCGACCACCAGAAUCCAAACCCAAUUUCCGGUAGAAAACUGAAAACGCGUAUAAAAUUGAACCCUGAUGAGCUACCAGCUAGAUUUCAUCCAGAAAUCAAGAAGACCGAGAAGAUCUAGGGAAUUUUAGGAUGGAUCAGGCCGAGACGAUAAGCUUGACGUCAAUUUCAGUGAGAUUUCACCGAAAUCCAAAGAGAAACGAUCGAACGAGGAAUGGAAAACUAAUUCCGACGAGCUAAGUCGCCGAAACAGUGACCAACGACUUGAAAUCUUCACUCUCUCUCUUGAUUUUUCACCCUCUCUACUUGAUCAAUCCCUUACCCCACUGUAUCUUGCGAAAAAAAUAAAGAACAGAAGAAAAGAAAUGGUAUUUUUCUCUUUCUCGUUCUCUCUCUGCUACUCUCUCUCUUAUCGAUCUAUUCUCUUUUCUCUGUGUUUGUGUCUAUGAGAUGCUGUGAGGUGUGUGGUCCUUGUGGGAGUAAUGAUGGGUUUGCGAUGGAGAAGAAAAGGAGAGGAUAAUCUGCUCUCAAAAAUGGCAUUUUUGAAGCCAGACCCAGGAAGGAAAAAAAUAGUUCUUUUCGGGAGUUAAAGAAUGAUGAUAAUGGGUGUGAUUAUCAUCCCGUGGAUGUUCUAUUGUAUGAAUUCUAUGCAUUCUCCAUGGAUGAAUCCAAAAUGGAAUCCCUGUGUGCAUUGUAUAUAAUGAAAAAAAGAAUUCCCCCUUCUAUUCUGGGUGUGUAUGGAAUAUAUGUAUAUUGUGUAGGUGAUGUGUAAAUGAUGGUCAAGAAGAUAUAACGUAGGGCCCUCCAUUUUUGUUGUUUUCUUCUCCAAGGGAUAAAAAAUGUGAGUGGGUAGUGAGGUGGAAGCUUUUGAUUGGGUAGGUUGUUAGGAUAAGAUAAAUUAGUUAGAGGUAUUUUUUUUGUUUAUUUUUAUAUUUUUAUGGGAUAUAAUUACAUGGGGUUGGAAACAUGGUAAGGUGAACUAAAAAUGAAUAAAAUUAGACUUCGGGAGGGAUAAAAUUAGGUGUCUACAUCAUGCCCCUUUUGAAUGUAAACACGAACUGUUUUCAGACAAAGAAGUAUACAGCGAGAUCAAAUUUUGACCCGACCAUUAUCCAAAGAAAGAAACAAAAGGAAGAAGGACAACCGGGUCUUGACUUAAGACAUCCUACCUACCCAAGUUAUGAGAGAAUCAAGUCACGGGUAUUUCAUAAGAUUGGAAAGAGAUGGACUAUACCAAGUUGGAGAGUCGAGUGAGGUUCCAUCGAGGUUCUGGUCCACGGCUCUGUCAUUACAUUAAAAAUGAAAAUUACAAGUUAAAGCAUAAAUGAAAUUACAAAAAUCCUAUUUCAUUAACUUAUUGCCAUGCUUUCAACUUCUUCACCCUGUUCUGCAAGCGGGCUCCUGACUUGCUAUUUUUCAAUCUGUUUAACUUUCAAUUUCUUCACCUUGUUGCUUAAUUUUUCAUUUAUUCGCUCUGUGCUUCGGGCAGGCUCCUGAAAUCACAUCAAAACUAAAAAGAAAAUUAUCCCAAACAAAUAUUAUUAUAAAGAGAAAUUCCGUUUGCCAGAAAACUAAAGUUUCAAAAACAGAAAUUAAAUUUUUUUUUCCAAGUUUAUCAUCAGAAGACUUUUGGAAAAGUCACAUCAUACUUACUUGCAUGUUACAAUGAUAAAUCAAGACUCUGACCAAGAAAUGCAUCGCUUGAGAGUAAAAUUGAAUAACCAAGACUAGGAAGUGCGUCUCCUAAGAAUUAAAGUGAGGGAUUCUAACUAGAAAGUGCGUCUUCUAGAGAUACAAGUUUAAGUUAAAAAGUGUGCCACCUGACAAAUGAAAACUAGCAAAAAAGUGCAUCUCCAAAGGAUUAAGUGCAAUAAAUUGACUAGAAAGUUCAUUUUCUAGAAAUCAAGGGGACUGCUAGGAAGUGCAUUACGCAAAAGCAAAGUUCGAAUUACCCGAUCAAAGAAAUGUAUCUCCUUACCAAUGUUGCUUGAAUAAUCAAAAUAAGGAAGUGCAUCUCCUUACCAAUGCCACUUGAAUUACCAAACCAAGGAAGUGCGUCUCUUUACCAAUGCCACUUGAAUUACUCAAACAAGGAAGUGCGUCUUCUCACAAAUGUUUCUUGAAUUAACCAAACAAGGAAGUGCAUCUCCUUACAAAUGUUGCUUAAAUUGCCCAAGGAAGGAAGUGUGUCUCCAAUGUUGCUUGAAUUACCAAAACAAGAAAGUGCGUCUCCUUUGGAAGUGUGUCUCCUUACGAUAGCGCUUGAAUUACCAAAAUAAGGAAGUGUGUCUCUUUACAAAUGUUGCUUGAAUUGUCCAAACAAGGAAGUGCAUCCCCUUGCAAAUGUUGCUGGAAUUACCCAAACAAGAAAGCGCGUCUCCUCACAAAUGUUGCUGGAAUUACCAAACAAGGAAGUGUGUCUCCUUACAAAUGUCAAUCAAAUUACCAAACAAGGAAGUGAGUCUCCUUACAAAUGUUGCUUAAAUUAUCAAACAAGAAAGUGCGUCUCCUUACAAAUGUUGCUUAAAUUAUCAAAACAAGGAAGUGCAUCUCCUUACCAAUACCGCUUGAAUUACCAAACCAAGGAAGUGCGUCUCCUUACCAAUGCCGCUUGAAUUAUUCAAACAACGAAGUGCGUCUCCUCACAAAUAUUUUUUGAAUUAACCAAACAAGGAAGUGCAUCUCCUUACAAAUGUUGCUUGAAUUGUCCAAACAAGGAAGUGCGUCCCCUUACAAAUGUUGCUGGAAUUACCCAAACAAGGAAGUGCGUCUCCUAACAAAUGUUACUGGAAUUACCCGAACAAGGAAGUGCGUCUCCUUACAAAUGUCAAUCAAAUUACCAAACAAGGAAGUGCAUCUCCUUACAAAUGUUGCUUGAAUUGUCCAAACAAGGAAGUGCGUCCCCUUACAAAUGUUGCUGGAAUUACCCAAACAAGGAAGUGCGUCUCCUAACAAAUGUUACUGGAAUUACCCGAACAAGGAAGUGCGUCUCCUUACAAAUGUCAAUCAAAUUACCAAACAAGGAAGUGCAUCUCCUUAUAAAUGUUGCUUGAAUUUUCCACACAAGGAAGUGCAUCUCCUUACAAAUACCGCUUGAAUUACCAAACAAGAAAGUGUGUUUCCUCACAAAUGUUGCUGGAUUUACCAAAUAAGGAAGUGCGUUUCCUUACAAAUAUUGCUGGAAUUACCCAAACAAGGAAGUGCGUCUCUUUACAAAUGUUGCUAGAAUUACCAAAACAAGAAAAUGUGUCUCCUUACAAAUGUCGCUUGAAUUACCAUGAGUUUGAAUACCAAAUAUGUGCAGCAACAUUACCUCUUGCAUUUGUAGAAGUGAGAAUAUUACGGCCCUUGAUAUUUAGGCUUUGAAAUCCUUGAUUCGAAGGUAGCAUGUGUUCCUAUUUCAUACAAAGAAAACUUGUUAGUUUAAAAAUAUGGUGGUUGGUUUGUGGCUUAGCUUUCACGGCAAUCGCUUUUGCCCCCUUCACAUUUAACCUUGCUUCCAACCAUUAACAUAGGAUGUUGACUUACUGUAUCAUUGACCCAAACUCAAAUUAUUAAGAGUGACUCUGAAACAAACACAGUAUCUCUGCUUUGCCAUGCUCCUCAAAUAAACCCUUUGAAUCUUAGUAUUUUCAUAAAUUCCCAGACUUGUUUGUUGACAAAAUUUGUAUGCCUUAUUUAGGCUAACAAUCAUGUCUCUUUUAUGUGCUGACUUUUGUCUUGCUUUGUGCAAUUGGAGAAGCUGGUAGCAGUUUUGAAAUAUUUCCUCACUUGUUUUGAUAAGAACUUGACUCAAAGACAAGAAAAAAAAUGACAGUGAUUUUUAUUUGGACAACUGACCCAAGAAAAAUAAAAAUAAAAAUAUAAAGAAGAAAGAAAAGACAAUGAAUGUCCCCAUUUGAAACAAAGAAAUUAAAAAUUUAUCUAAAAAUGACUGUCAACUCUAAUGAUUAUGCCAUGCAUGUUGAAUUAAUCUGCCUGAUCUUUCCAUCCACACCUUCCACCAGUUGUUGUUGGGUUAAUGGUCUUGAAACUGAGUUGUUUCCUUGGGCCAAUUACAUUCGGAGACCUCAUUCGGCUAGUGGCACCUUGAAGGGUUUUCACCAACAAACCUCUCUUAUUUUUCUCUCAUCUCGCCAUCGUCUUAUGGUGCCCGUGAGGGUUUUCACCAAUAAGACUCUCUCAUUUUUAUUUCUCUCAACUUACCAUCGCCUUACGGUGCCCGUGAGAGUUUUCACCAAUAAGACUCUCACUUUUAUUUCUCUCUUAAUUCCUUGUGCUGAGGAAGACAGGUAGUUCCCAAAUACAUCAUCAUAUCUCUUGCAUGCUUUGCCUUAACAUCCCUAAAGAUUGAUCUGAAGGUCUUUCUUUGGUUGUAACUUGNNNNNNNNNNNNNNNNNNNNNNNNNNNNNNNNNNNNNNNNNNNNNNNNNNNNNNNNNNNNNNNNNNNNNNNNNNNNNNNNNNNNNNNNNNNNNNNNNNNNNNNNNNNNNNNNNNNNNUUUUAUUCGCUCUUUUCACUUUGCGAUUCUUUUUUUCUAACUCUAUUUUUCUUGACACUUUUUUUUGAAACAUUUUUGUCUCUUUUUUGUAACUUUUUUACUUUAUCUUUUUACUCGACACUAUUCUUUAAACUUUGCUUACUCUAUCUUGACAUGAAAGAAAAUAACACUAAGGCUCAAAUGGGGUAAACAAAGGAUGACACAAUGUUUGGAUAGCAGAAUGAAAUGCCUUCAUCGUAUCAAUCCUUGAGAAUGCAAGUACAUAACAUGCAAUUGGAAGUGAGAGAUGAAGAUCAUUUUCGACAUCUUUUCAAGAAGAUUGAGUCUGUGCGUCACUACUUUUUCUGUAAACUCCACCUUUGUUGUACAUUCCUCACAUCAAAUGACUCAUGCUUUUGUGGAGCUGCUUAUCUUCUUGCUUCUCUUGAUAUAGUGAUCACACGUCCACUAUUUGACCUAAUUGGGACUUGCCUUUCGAUCGAUGACCAAGUUGUUCUUGUGAUUCUCAAAAUAAUUGCCUUAACUUGUCACCAAAUGUCUCAGCACUCUAUCUAUUGUCUCAUAUGCUCUCUUUUUCUAACUUUAACCCUCUGAUUCAAUGUUCAUGCUUAAACUGGAUUUUAAGAUCUGGCUGAAACUUUCACUAGCAUGUCAUAUCACUAGAGUUAACAUAAAAUGUAUAUGUAAAGAAAACAAACAAACAAACAACACAUAUUUAAAACACAAAGAAAAAUAAGACACUUCAUUUAGUCGAAACAAAAGAUAGAAGGGUUUGAACAUAAUCAACAAAAGGACAAAACAAGAUAGAUCCCGAACUACAAACCUGAAAUAAUUCAGACAACAGAAAAAUAAAACAAAACAAGCUACUAGACCCCUUCCUGGUAAGGAGAUGGGUGAUUUCUCAAUUGCUCAGCCUGACAAAUUAGCCACUGAUUGGCAUAUCAGAGUGACUAGAGCUUCCCUCACUUUUCAGGUUUUGCACCAUAAUUGAUCCAUCUUGAAUCAUCUUUUCAAUUUCUCUUUUCAAAUCUAGACAAUCUUCAAUACUAUGACCCUGAGCAUCAGAAUGAUACGCACAACAUGCAUUAGGAUCAAAAUUUCUUGAACGCCGAUUAAGAGUGUGCCCAAGGAGAGGAGUAAUCAUGCCCCUAUGUCUCAAUCUCUGGAACAGACACGCAUAAGAUUCCCCAAUAGGAGUAAAAUUAUCAUUUUCCUUUCUCAUCAUUGCGAACUCUGGCCUUGGAUGAAACGUGGAUUUAGAGGUUCCUUGGUAAAUUUGUGGGGGUUGAGGAUAAUGUUGAGGGACAGGUGCAUACAUACCAUUGUGGAUAAGAAGACGGAUGGGUAAACAAUUGUGCAUUAUUCAAAGGACAUUGAGGAAGUGGAAUGNNNNNNNNNNNNNNNNNNNNNNNNNNNNNNNNNNNNNNNNNNNNNNNNNNNNNNNNNNNNNNNNNNNNNNNNNNNNNNNNNNNNNNNNNNNNNNNNNNNNNNNNNNNNNNNNNNNNNNNNNNNNNNNNNNNNNNNNNNNNNNNNNNNNNNNNNNNNNNNNNNNNNNNNNNNNNNNNNNNNNNNNNNNNNNNNNNNNNNNNNNNNNNNNNNNNNNNNNNNNNNNNNNNNNNNNNNNNNNNNNNNNNNNNNNNNNNNNNNNNNNNNNNNNNNNNNNNNNNNNNNNNNNNNNNNNNNNNNNNNNNNNNNNNNNNNNNNNNNNNNNNNNNNNNNNNNNNNNNNNNNNNNNNNNNNNNNNNNNNNNNNNNNNNNNNNNNNNNNNNNNNNNNNNNNNNNNNNNNNNNNNNNNNNNNNNNNNNNNNNNNNNNNNNNNNNNNNNNNNNNNNNNNNNNNNNNNNNNNNNNNNNNNNNNNNNNNNNNNNNNNNNNNNNNNNNNNNNNNNNNNNNNNNNNNNNNNNNNNNNNNNNNNNNNNNNNNNNNNNNNNNNNNNNNNNNNNNNNNNNNNNNNNNNNNNNNNNNNNNNNNNNNNNNNNNNNNNNNNNNNNNNNNNNNNNNNNNNNNNNNNNNNNNNNNNNNNNNNNNNNNNNNNNNNNNNNNNNNNNNNNNNNNNNNNNNNNNNNNNNNNNNNNNNNNNNNNNNNNNNNNNNNNNNNNNNNNNNNNNNNNNNNNNNNNNNNNNNNNNNNNNNNNNNNNNNNNNNNNNNNNNNNNNNNNNNNNNNNNNUGAACAAGAGGUAACAAAUAUGUUAGAGUUCAACAUUUUUUCUUCAAAACCUUUUUUUUUUUAGAAAAGAUCACAGAACCCAAGAAGGGCACCUACGUAUCUCACUCUCGAGAGAGGAGAAUCAGGUGUGCAUAGUUCGUGAAGUCUUGCCAAAAUAGCCAAUUAAACUCUUUUUCCUUUUCUUCUUUUACUCUUUUUUUUUUAAACUUUGAGAAGAGAAAAUAACAAAUUGUCAAAAGAAUUGACAAUAAUCUUUUUGAAUUUUUCAACUUUAACAUCUCUAUACAAUAUGAAACCUACGAUUACCAAAGAAAAAUCUUUUUGUAGUUUUCUCUUGAAGAUGUAUAUGAAACACCUACUCUAAAUGAAGAGUGAAUAAUUUUUUUUUUUUUGAAAUAACCCGAACCAACAAUAGGUUGCCUACGUAUCUCGCAUCCCGAAAGAGGAGAAUCAGGGGUGCGUAGUUCGUCCAGAUCGGACAAUUAAUGAUUAAAUAAUAGGCUAGACUCUGCCUUAAGAGAUACGACCAAAGACAGACGAUGAACCAUGUUAAUAAAAUCUUUUGAGUUUUCAUUUUGAUACUUCACAGAAAAAUGACAUCAACAACUAUGAAAGAAAAAUCUUUUUGGUAUUUUCGUUAUACAAAAUGUAAAAAAUUUCUAUUAUACAAAAUGUAAAAAAUUUCUAACAUCUUUUUUUUUUUGCAUUUUUCUUUUAUAAACACAUCUUAUGAAUAAAAAAUCUUUUUGAAGUUUUUGAAUUGUGAAUGCAUGCUAAACGAGACAAAGGAAAAUCUUUUUGAUGUUUUUUGAGAAAAUGAGUGCGAAAGGUAAAAAAGUCCUUUUGAAUUUUGGAAUUGUGAAAAAUAAAAGCCAUAAAAAAAAACUCUAAAAACUACAAAACUUUUUUUUUUCAUUACCCACACACUUUACUUCAAAUGACCAUGUUACCUUCAAAGAUGCAACAUUUAGCACGUAGGGAUGCUUUAGAGACGAUUCUCCUACAAAGGGCCAAGUGGGCCCUGCUAGGUCUUCAAUAUGAUGCACAUAAGCAUAACCCAAAGACUGACCUACGUUGGGGUUCACUAUGGUCGACAGUGGUUGCUUUGCUUUCCACCUACUCCAUAACACCAACGGUUCCCCCCCUAAAAUAAGGGUGACUCAACUAGAGGUCGUGUACAACACGUGUACUACAGACUUGUUGCAGAAAGAAGGCCUGGGGGUUGGGGGUAGACACAUGAUGCCAGAUAUAAAAGCGGUAACAUAUAGGAUAAAUACUGUACAGAAAGAGCAUGAAAACGCACAACAGUGAUAACAAUAACACAAACAAUAAUCACAAACAAUGUUUAUACACCCAUAAUGUCAAACAAAGCCGAUACGACUCCAAAAAUAAGACCGAAUUCUGAAAAGAUCCCCAGCAGAGUAGCCAGAGCUGUCACACCCCUUAUUUAAUCGAAAAAAAGAUUAUGUAUUGGGUUUGAAAGAGUUUUUAUUAUUAAGUGACAAAAGAAAAGGAUUUGUUUUGAAGAAGGAUUGUUUUUACAUUUGAAAUCAGAGUCGCCACUUGGCAUAAUCUGGUGUGCCAAGUCACCAUUGGAAAAUCCUUUUCAAAAUCAUUUGACUCUUUAAACUGGUUUGCGAACAGAGAUUCCAGCUAAGGAAUUCUAUUGACCGAGGGGAAGGUGUUAGACAUCCUUCGAUCCCGUGGUUUGACCACGGUCGCUUGGUGGAGCGUAUCGGUUAAUUUUGACACUAUGAGUGUACAACCCACACAAAACACAUAAAACAAUCAAACAAACAAACAAAACAAAAAGAAUCAAUAGUACAGUGUCCAGUCCAAUUUAUAUGUUCAGUCCAAUUAUUACAAUCCAAAAAUAGAAAAAUGCGAAAAAUAUAAAUCCUAUUCUAAGCUAGUCCUAGACUAAGCUCCAAUGUUUCACCCGAUGCCUCGGGCCUUGAUCGAGAUCCGCCUUCGCCAACAUGAUACGUCGGUACAUUCCCCGGUGAAUAAAUACAUCAAUCUUCGGGGCAUUCCCCGGCCAAAUGAAUACACUUCAAUCCAAAAACAUAAACCAACACAUUUCAACAAAACACCCUCAAUAUUCAACGAUCGCAAGUCAUAAACUUUGCCUAACCCACUUAUAUUUGUCUAUCAAUGGUCGACCUAAACAUGAUACUACUAUUUUUCAACAACAUCCAUGCUUAUUCCGAACUGGACUACAUAUCACGUUCAAUGUCAACGAUUAAUUAAAACAACAAUAUUCAUUUUUAUCAACUUUCAAUUCUCGUUUUUCCCAAUUUCAUUGUCAAACUAGUUAACCAAUUCUUCGACUAUCAAAUCCAAUAUCAACCACGUACACACAAAAAAGAUUCAAAUACGCUAACCAAACAAGUUAUUCACACCCAUAACAAACGACUAAAAUUCCAAAAUAGAAUAGAGAAUGAGAUGAGAAAUGGACCUCAAUGCUUUAUUGAUUAACUGAUCUUUCCGAAUAGAACCGCGUCCAACGGAACUCAACGUCGAACCUCAGACCGACGAAACCGCAUCUCGGACUAGCCUCGAUAUGAACCCACAACUUGAACAAAAAUCCAAACUAGAAUCAAAUGCCGACCACCAGAAUCCAAACCCGAUUUCCGGUAGAAAACUGAAGACGCGUACAAAAUCGAACCCCGAUGAGCUACCAACUAGAUUUCAUCCAGAAAACAAGAAGACCGAGAGGAUCUAGGGAAUUUUAGGAUGGAUCAGGCCGAAACGAUAAGCUUGACGUCGAUUUCAGUGAGAUUUCACCGAAAUCCAAAGAGAAACGAUCGAACGAGGAAUGAAAAACUAAUUCCGACGAUCUAAGUCGCCGGAACAGUGACCAACGACUUGAAAUCUUCACUCUCUCUCUUGAUUUUUCACCCUCUCUACUUGAUCUAUCCCUUACCCCACUGUAUCUUGCGAAAAAAAAUGAAGAACAGAAGAAAAGAAAUGGUAUUUUUCUCUUUCUCGUUCUCUCUCUGCUACUCUCUCUCUUAUCGAUCUAUUCUCUUUUCUCUAUGUGUGUGUCUGUGAGAUGCUGUGAGGUGUGUGGUCCUUGUGGGAGUAAUGAUGGGUUUGCGAUGGAGAAGAAAAGGAGAGGAUAAUCUACUCUCAAAAAUGGCAUUUUUGAAGCCAGACCCAGGAAGGAAAAAAAAAU